rnacentral:rRNA from 1 species
UACAUGUGGGGCAAGCGUUGUUCGGAAUUACUGGGCAUAAAGGGUGCGUAGGCGGCUUGUUAAGUCAGGGGUGAAAGUUUUCGGCCCAACCGGAAAAUUGCCUUUGAUACUGGCGAGCUUGAGUGCAGAAGAGAAAAGCGGAAUUCCACGUGUAGCGGUGAAAUGCGUAGAGAUGUGGAGGAACACCAGUGGCGAAGGCGGCUUUUUGGUCUGUAACUGACGCUGAGGCGCGAAAGCGUGGGGAGCAAACAGG